GAAGGUCUAGUGCUUUAUCGGUGA
rnacentral:siRNA from 1 species